UACGUAGGGGGCAAGCGUUGUCCGGAAUCAUUGGGCGUAAAGAGCGUGUAGGCGGCCUGACAGGUCUGCUGUGAAAACUCGAGGCUCAACCUCGAGAUGUCGGCGGAAACCGUCUGGCUAGAGUCCGGAAGAGGAGAGUGGAAUUCCUGGUGUAGCGGUGAAAUGCGCAGAUAUCAGGAAGAACACCUAUGGCGAAGGCAGCUCUCUGGGACGGUACUGACGCUGAGACGCGAAAGCGUGGGGAGCGAACAGG
rnacentral:rRNA from 1 species